UACAGAGGGUGCGAGCGUUAAUCGGAAUUACUGGGCGUAAAGGGCUCGUAGGCGGCCAACUAAGUCAGACGUGAAAUCCCUCAGCUUAACUGGGGAACUGCGUCUGAUACUGGAUGGCUUGGAUUCGGGAGAGGAAUGCGGAAUUCCAGGUGUAGCGGUGAAAUGCGUAGAUAUCUGGAGGAACACCGGUGGCGAAGGCGGCAUUCUGGACCGAUAUUGACGCUGAGGAGCGAAAGCCAGGGGAGCAAACGGG
rnacentral:rRNA from 1 species